rnacentral:rRNA from 1 species
AGUGAACGCUGGCGGCGUGGAUUAGGCAUGCAAGUCGUGCGAUCUCUUCGGAGAUAGCGGCAAACGGGUGAGUAACGCGUGAGUAAUCUUCCCUAAAGACGAACAUAGCUUCGCGAAAGCGGAGGUAAUUUUCGAUAUGGCCAUGAGUCGACAUCGGUUUAUGGUUAAAGCAGGGGACCUUCGGGCCUUGUACUUUGGGAUGAACUCGCGUCCUAUCAGCUUGUUGGUGAGGUAACGGCUCACCAAGGCGUUUGACGGGUAGCUGGUCUGAGAGGAUGGUCAGCCACACUGGGACUGAGACACUGCCCAGACUCCUACGGGAGGCUGCAGUCGAGAAUCUUUAUCAAUGGACGAAAGUCUGAAUAUGCGACGCCGCGUGCGGGACGAAGGCCUUCGGGUUGUAAACCGCUUUUAUCAGGAAAGAAACUUCCGCCAUCUAAUAUACGGCGGGACUGACGGUACCUGAAGAAUAAGCUACGGCCAACUCCGUGCCAGCAGCCGCGGUAAUACGGAGGUAGCGAGCGUUACUCGGAAUCAUUGGGUGUAAAGGGCAAGUAGGCGGUCUAUUAAGUGAGGGGUGAAAUCUCCCGGCUCAAUCGGGAAAUUGCCUUUCAAACUAAUAGACUUGAGGGUGAUAGAGGAAAACGGAAUUCGCAGUGUAAGGGUGAAAUCUGUAGAGAUUGCGAAGAACACCGGCGGCGUAGGCGGUUUUCUGGAUCACAUCUGACGCUAAAUUGCGAAAGCUAGGGGAGCGAACAGAAUUAGAUACUCUGGUAGUCCUAGCCGUAAACGAUGAGCACUAGGUGUUGGGACUUCGGUCUCAGUGCCGCAGCUAACGCAUUAAGUGCUCCACCUGGGGACUACGGCCGCAAGGCUAAAACUCAAAGGAAUUGACGGGGACCCGCACAAGCGGUGGAACAUGUGGUUUAAUUCGAUGCUACGCGAAGAACCUCACCAAGGCUUGACAUGUAGUGAGUAGGGAAUCUGAAAGGUGACCGACCCGUUUAGUCCGGGAAGCUACACAGGUGCUGCAUGGCUGUCGUCAGCUCGUGUCGUGAGAUGUUGGGUUAAGUCCCGCAACGAGCGCAACCAUUGCCCCAUGUUGCUACCCCAUUUUGAUCUUCGGAUCUGGUGGGCGCACUCUUGGGGGACUGCCUGGGAUAACCAGGAGGAAGGUGGAGAUGGCGUCAAGUCAGUACGGCCUUUAUGCCUUGGGCUACACACGUGUUACAAUGGCAGGUACAAUGGGUUGCCAACCCGUAAGGGGGAGCUAAUCUCAAAAAACCUGCCCCAGUUCGGAUAGAAGUCUGCAAUUCGACUUCUUGAAGUUGGAAUCGCUAGUAAUGGGAGAUCAGCUCGCUCCCGUGAAUACGUUCCCGGGUCU